rnacentral:lncRNA from 1 species
UGCAAUUAAAAAAAAUUUGAUGUGUACCAUUAUUGUUUUUCUAUUGCAAAAAGGUACACUUUUUAAAUAUAAAAAAAUACAAGCAAUAGCUAAACUACAACUAAGAGCAAAAUUUCUCACUCACACAUGUGUUAUCAAUGUGUUACGGAUAUGGAAGUUAAAAGGUAGGCAAAUUUUUUUUUUUUUUUUUGUUUGAGGACCUUUCUUAUUAAGAGGGGUGAUAACAUACUAAACUUAUACACACUACACAAAUGAUAUUAAAGAGUAGAUAUUUUUUAACUCCCAUAAAAAGCAAGAAAUAACUGAUUCGUAACUCCACCAACCAAAAAAUAAAUAAAAACUCCACCAAUCAAAAAUAAAAAAUAGAAACUCCACCAACCAAAAAAUAAAUAAAAACUCCACCAACCAAGUGUCAUACUGUUGGCCACUCUAAGACAUGGUAAGAUCAACGGCAAAAAAAGUUGGCAAAUACCAUAUCAACGGCUCAGAUCUCCCCCUGCCAUCUGAUGCGAGAUAUUAUUCCAGGACUAGUGGAGCACUACUAACCAGUCGGAAAAUAAAAUAAUAAAGAAAAAAGAAGAAGGAAAAAGUC